UACGUAGGGGGCUAGCGUUGUCCGGAAUCAUUGGGCGUAAAGAGCGUGUAGGCGGUCCGGUAAGUCCGCUGUGAAAGUCGGGGGCUCAACCCUCGAAUGCCGGUGGAUACUGUCGGGCUAGAGUACGGAAGAGGCGAGUGGAAUUCCUGGUGUAGCGGUGAAAUGCGCAGAUAUCAGGAGGGAUACCUAUUGCGAAGGCAGCUCGCUGGGACGUUACUGACGCUGAGACGCGAAAGCGUGGGGAGCAAACAGG
rnacentral:rRNA from 1 species